AUUGAACGCUGGCGGCAUGCCUUACACAUGCAAGUCGAACGGUAACGCGGGGCAACCUGGCGACGAGUGGCGAACGGGUGGGUAACGCAUCGGAACGUGCCCAGUAGUGGGGGAUAGCCCGGCGAAAGCCGGAUUAAUACCGCCUACGACCUAAGGGUGAAAGCGGGGGCUCGCAAGACCUCGCGCUAUUGGAGCGGCCGAUGUCAGAUUAGGUAGUUGGUGGGGUAAAGGCCUACCAAGCCGACGAUCUGUAGCUGGUCUGAGAGGACGACCAGCCACACUGGGACUGAGACACGGCCCAGACUCCUACGGGAGGCAGCAGUGGGGAAUUUUGGACAAUGGGCGCAAGCCUGAUCCAGCCAUGCCGCGUGCGGGAAGAAGGCCUUCGGGUUGUAAACCGCUUUUGUCAGGGAAGAAAAGGCUCGAACUAAUACUUUGGGCUCAUGACGGUACCUGAAGAAUAAGCACCGGCUAACUACGUGCCAGCCGCCGCGGUAAUAC
rnacentral:rRNA from 1 species